GCGUGCAACACAUAUACUAAAUUGGAAUACAGAGAAGAUUAGUACGGCCCCUGCACAAAGAUGACAUGCAAGUUCGUGAAGCUUUCCACAUUUCU
ensembl:snRNA U6 U6 spliceosomal RNA